rnacentral:rRNA from 1 species
GACGAACGCUGGCGGCGUGCUUAACACAUGCAAGUCGAACGGUAAGGCCCUUCGGGGUACACGAGUGGCGAACGGGUGAGUAACACGUGGGUGAUCUGCCCUGCACUUCGGGAUAAGCCUGGGAAACUGGGUCUAAUACCGGAUAGGACCACUGCCUGCAUGGGUGGCGGUGGAUAGCUUUCGCGGUGUGGGAUGGGCCCGCGGCCUAUCAGCUUGUUGGUGGGGUGAUGGCCUACCAAGGCGACGACGGGUAGCCGGCCUGAGAGGGUGACCGGCCACACUGGGACUGAGAUACGGCCCAGACUCCUACGGGAGGCAGCAGUGGGGAAUAUUGCACAAUGGGCGCAAGCCUGAUGCAGCGACGCCGCGUGAGGGAUGACGGCCUUCGGGUUGUAAACCUCUUUCAGCACCGACGAAGCGCAAGUGACGGUAGGUGCAGAAGAAGGACCGGCCAACUACGUGCCAGCCGCCGCGGUAA